GACGAACGCUGGCGGCGUGCUUAACACAUGCAAGUCGAACGGAAAGGCCCCUUUUGGGGUACUCGAGUGGCGCACGGGUGAGUAACACGUGAGUAACCUGCCCUUGACUUCGUGAUAACUUCAGGAAACUGGGGCUAAUACCGGAUAGGAAUCCUUUCUUCAUGGUGGGUGUUGGAAAGCUUCUGCGGUUUUGGAUGGACUCGCGGCGUAUCAGCUUGUUGGUUGGGCAGUGGCUUACCAAGGCUUUGACGGGUAGCCGGCCUGGGAGGGCGACCGGCCAACAUGGGGACGAGAAACGGGCCAGACUCCUACGGGAGGCAGCAGGGGGGAAUAUUGGACCAUGGGCGGAAGCCUGAUGCAGGAACGCCGCGGGCGGGAUGACGGCCUUCGGGUUGGAAAACGCUUUCAGCAGGGGCGAAGCUUGUGGUGACGGUACCUGCAGAAGAAGCACCGGCUAACUACGUG
rnacentral:rRNA from 1 species